UUUAUUUUGUUCCUCAACAUUAAGGAAACUACAAACAUAUUGUUGAAAGAAAAUGAAAGGUACAUUGUAAAUUUUGGUCUGCAAAUCUUAAAGAAAAGGACCCAGA
rnacentral:lncRNA from 1 species